GAGAAAUAACAAAGAAAAUGUUUGAGUGAGAGAGAUGAAGGAGAAAGGGUUGAGAGGAAUGAAGGAGGUGAGUAAGGGUUUGGGGUUUCUUUUUUUAGUUUUGAGAAUGAAAAUUAUUAAAAUAAGGCAAGUGUUUUUUAUUUUUUUUCAAUUGGGACUAGAGUAGAGAUGACAAAGAAAAGGUUGGAGUGAGAGAGGUGGAUAAGGGUUUGGGGGUUUCUUUUUUUAUUUUUUUAAUUUUGAGAAUGAAAAUUAUUA
rnacentral:lncRNA from 1 species